CUUGUCAUUCCCAGCUGUGUAUAUAUAUUAACCCAUGGAUGGGUGAUUAAAUGGUGAUAUAGUUUACGACUAAACUAGAAGACAACAGAAAAAGAUGCAGAUUUGGAGUUGGCGACAAACAUAGAUAACUAAAUGGUUAUAAAAGAAAAAGAGAGAAGAAAAUCGAAUAAGGCCAAUAAUAUAUAAAGUGGGGAUGGGAAUAAACAUUUUUAUAUUUGUCUUCUAUUCCCUUCUUGUCCGU